rnacentral:rRNA from 1 species
CGGGUGAGUAAUGUCUGGGAAACUGCCUGAUGGAGGGGGAUAACUACUGGAAGCGGUAGCUAAUACCGCAUAACGUCGCAAGACCAAAGAGGGGGACCUUCGGGCCUCUUGCCAUCGGAUGUGCCCAGAUGGGAUUAGCUAGUAGGUGGGGUAACGGCUCACCUAGGCGACGAUCCCUAGCUGGUCUGAGAGGAUGACCAGCCACACUGGAACUGAGACACGGUCCAG